UGUUGAUGGUGGUUUAGCAUGGAAGUCAGGGAACUCCUCUUUGACAUCAAGUGAGACUCAACAGAACAAAAAGAGCCAGUCAUGCGGAGAUAAAUGGGACGAUUCUAAAUAUCUGACAAGUGAUUAGCGCACACUCAAUUUACAUAACCAAAUAAAAACUGCUCCUCCAAAGUAAUCAUCUUAUGAACUAUAAGACUGUCCAAGUUAUCCUUUCAUUACCAGAAACAUUUCUUGGAGAUCAUGUGUAAAUGCCUUGAGCAUCAGUGGUACAUCUUUGGACUGAGUUUUGUAAACAGCUAAGUCACUUCA
rnacentral:lncRNA from 1 species